rnacentral:lncRNA from 1 species
CUUCAGGAGUGAAGCUGCAGACCUUCGCGUGAUGGAGGUUGAGAAGUCCAACUUCAAGGCACCACAUCUGGUGAGAGCCUUCAUUCCGAUGACAGCCUUCAUGCUGGUAAGAUUUUCUUCAGAGUUCCAAGGUGGUGCACGGCAUCACAUGGCGAAGGAAAUGAGCGUGCUAGCUCAGGUGUCUCUUCCUCUUCUUAUAAAGCCACCAGUCCCACUCCUGUGCUAGUAACUCUUUAAUCCAUCAACCCAUUAAUCCAUGAAUAGAUUAACCCAUGAGGCCUCUGCCCUCAGGACCCAAUCACCUCUUAAAGGCCUGACCUGUCAAUAUUGCCAUACUGGGGACUCAGUUUCAACAUGAGUUUUGAAAGGGACAAACAUUCAAUCCAUAGUAACAUGAGAGCUUUUCAAAGCCCUUCUUUGUUGAAGUAUGUCCUUCUCCAGCCUCUUUUUUCCCAGGCUUUUUGUUUUUUCUAUUGCUUGUGCAGCUGUUAUCCUUUGCUACAGGUGGCAAUAGCUAAUACAUUUGCCUUUAAAUUUGUUUGACAAACACCACCCUGGAAGUAGCCUCAACUCUGGGGAAGCUCCAAGACAGGUAAAAUACAGCAACCUGCAGCAGGAAAAUGGGCUUCAGUUUUCAAGUCUGCAGCUGAGUUGGGAAGUUGCGGACAGUAACCAGAUGGCGUCUCACUCUGUCACCCAGGCUGGAGUGCAGUGG